AUCGCGUGUCGUAGUGUAGAAAUGAGGUGUGAGCUAAACGAAAAGUUGUUUCUUGUCCGAUUUCAACGUAGUAAAAUAUUGACUAUAUUCAUUGCAACUGAACUCAUAAUUGUUUCAGUUUCUUUUGUAUGAUAUAAUUAUCAAAUGAUUUUCAAUAAUUUUAAGAUUUCCAUUCUUGAUGCUGUGCAAUCUGCAAAUUUCAACAAGUUCUACCAAAUUGUUUCGAAAUAUCCCGAACAUUCCGAAAAAUUAAAUAAAGUUUUCUUAGAGAAAAGUGGUGACAAUAUUGUGCAUCUUGCUGCCCAAACUAAUUGCAUAGAUAUUAUCAAAUAUAUCUAUGAAAACGGAAACAAGGUCUUAUUAAUUCAGAAAAAUCUGGAUGGAAAAUCCCCUUUACAUAUUGCUGCUCAUUGCGGUCAUUUGAAUUCUGUUCAGUUUCUUCUGUCGUGUCAAGUUCCUGUUGAUCCUUUGAAAAGAGCAGAUUGGACUCCAUUGAUGCUUGCCUGCACUAAAAACAAUGCAGAUGUUGUAAAAGUUUUGGUUGAGAAUGGAGCUAAUCUAUUAUUAAAAAAUAAAGAUGGAUGGACAGCAUUUCAUAUUGCAUCUAGAGAAGGCCACAUUGAUGUAAUUAAAAACCUGUUGCUGAAAAACCCUAACUUGUGGAAAACAAGAAGUAAUAAUGGAAGGACACCCUUACACACAGCAUCUCUUCAUGGGCAUUUGGAUAUUGUGAAACUCAUUACUUCUAACUCUGACUGUGAUAACGAUGUGCAAGAUUGCUGUGGCACUACACCACUAAUGGAUGCUGGAUCUGCAAAUCAUUUGUUAGUUGUCCAGUUCUUAAUAGAACAGAAAGCCAGUAUUUUGAAAGUAGAUGCUCUAGGGAGAAAUGUCCUUCACCUUGCUGCUCAAUCUGCAAGCUUAAGUUGCAUUCAAUAUCUGAUUUCACAGUGUGGCUUAAAUGUUAAUCAACAAAAUUCAGAUGGUUUGACUCCUCUCCAUUUUGCUGCGAAGGAAAACAAUAGUGACUGUAUAAAACUAUUAUUAAAGUUGAAUGCUACUCCUACUAUAAAGGACAAUAAAUGUCGCACUGGAAGUCACCGGCAAGGUAUGACGGGUGAAAAUUGCUUCUACAUUUGAACGAAGUCAUUGCCUGUUUGCUGAUAUUUUGAUAGUUGAAAUGGUAACCCUAACUCCAGUGGAUUAACCCUAAACUCCACGUCACAGUAUACAUCAAAAGAAGAAAUUUGUAAACUUUUGUUACCAUGAAAUGUUGUAAAUAAAUUUUAUAGCUAC